rnacentral:lncRNA from 1 species
CCUAUUUACAAAUAUUUCUUUUAAUAUAAAUAUAGAUUAAAUUUCUUGCAGUGUUAUUAGUAUAACUAAUUUGUAGGUUUAAUUAACAUUUGGUCAUGGUGGGGUUACGUCCCUUUUAAAUUGGUUGUGUUCCAAAUGAGUUGGUAUUGUUAAUUUGUAGCUUAUAAACACACACUUAAAUAAUCAACAUGGCAGUUAGCUCUAUAACAUAUAAAAGACACAGGUUUUAGAGUUGCAAAAUAGAUUUCUUAUUUCUGCUUUUAAAAAUGAUUUGUUUUUUCCCUUUAAACACAUUACCCACAUGAGCUUGUCAUGUUGUCGUUUUAGUGGAGGGAAGUCCACAAAUUCUAAAAACAACAAGAUUUCCACAGGAUUUGCUGUCGUUUACUCUGUGGCCAAGGGGAUGAUUCAAUAUGAAUUUGGAGAGUUAUAGGAAUAGAGGUUGUUGGCGCCCAGCCAUCGUGGGAGGAACCCUGUGACCCUUCUCAGGACUCUUGUGGGCAUAGCUACAGAGUACCACAGGGUGGCAGCCUUUGUGAAAAGGACUCCAGGUCUCAGUCCGAUUCUAGCACUUUCCUUCUUCCAUCAGGGUAGAACAUCCGUGCAUUUUACGACAGAAAUGCCUCACAGCUGUGAAGCCUCCAUUUCCUAGAAUGCUGGAUGAGGAAGUAUUUCCCAGCGGCAAUGCACUACGCAGUCAGGGACAGGGACCAGGAGAAGCGAGGCGUUCUUGUUCUGCUCUGUUGGUGCCUUCAGCAAUCCCAGGUUCCCUUGCACCAGUGGUGGGAGGCUGAGGAGAAACUGGCUGAGGAGGCUUGCUGGCUUCUUUCCUGGAAAAGAAUUCCUGUGGUUUUAGGGGCAGCUUCAUGGUCAAACAGAUCAGGCAUAUCGUAAUCUGGAGAUGUUUUUAGAUUUUUCUUUCCCGUAUUCACAUCCUCUUCAUUUACAGAUAUCUUUGUAUGUCACUGGUCUAGACAACUUUGAAUUUUACUUAGUACCUGAUGGCAUUGUUCAAGAGUUUAUCCACAAUCAAAGUUUGUAACCAUAUUUGUCCUACCACAAUUUCUCUUGCUUGUUUUUUGUCCCUAAGAAAUAUUUCCUUAUAAUUGUUAUGCCCUCUGUAGUAAUAAAGAACAAAGCUUCUGCCUUAGCUUAUUGAAG